UACGUAGGUGACCAGCGUUGUCCGGAUUUACUGGGCGUAAAGAGCGCGCAGGCGGUCGUUCAAGUCGAGUGUGAAAGCCCCCGGCUCAACUGGGGAGGGUCACGCGAUACUGAUCGACUCGAAGGCAGGAGAGGGAAGUGGAAUUCCCGGUGUAGUGGUGAAAUGCGUAGAUAUCGGGAGGAACACCAGUGGCGAAGGCGACUUCCUGGCCUGUUCUUGACGCUGAGGCGCGAAAGCUAGGGUAGCAAACGGG
rnacentral:rRNA from 1 species